rnacentral:tRNA from 7 species
GGGGUUGUAGCUCAACUGGAAGAGCAUCUGCAUGGCAUGCAGAAGGUUGUGGGUUCGAGUCCCAUCUUCUCCAC